AUAAAAUACGAAAAAAGCACCAUAGAGUUCCUGAAAUAAACCGGGAGCAGAGGGAAUUGAUGCAGCCUUGCUGUAGUAUGAACUUGCAGGAUCAACGUCCCCCAACUAACAACAUCCUGUGGCAGGAGCAGGAACUGCUUGAACCAGAGGAACAUCCAAGGCCUAUCAAGAUGUUGGCUUUACUGACGCUGAUAUUCAUGUUGGGCGUCUCUUGCG